rnacentral:rRNA from 1 species
AUGAAAAAAAUCCAGAACCACAUCCUUGCCAAGGAAGGCUGCAAUCAUUACAGGACAGAACACCUUGAGAUUGAGCUGUGGUCCAACUUCCCAAUAGAGAAGCAAGCUUACAAAACCUAUACUAGGGACCUUUACCGCAAGUUCAGAGAAGAGUUUGAGCUAAUUGGACGUUAUAAUGCAUUCCAAGUUGGUGCUGAUAUAUUUGAGCUCAGACCAAACCAGGAAUUUGUUGCCAAAUAUGGUUCUCGAAACUACUUGGUGCAGAUAAGGGUGGAGGAGGGUUCCCAUUUGUGUGAGUAA